rnacentral:snoRNA from 1 species
AUGAGUAUACUUUCAGGGCUCAUUUCUAUAGUUUGUUACCAGUAUAUUGGGUGGUCACAACUUCGUGUGUACUGGAAAUAACCACAUGAGAUAUUGAGAGUUUAUAGAUGGCUUAAACUCUAUUGAUUAUGUUCUAUUUCUUUAGCUGGGAAGUAGGUAUACAGA